rnacentral:rRNA from 1 species
GGGUUGUGAGGUUAAGCGACUAAGCGUACACGGUGGAUGCCCUGGCAGUCAGAGGCGAUGAAGGACGUGCUAAUCUGCGAUAAGCGUCGGUAAGGUGAUAUGAACCGUUAUAACCGGCGAUUUCCGAAUGGGGAAACCCAGUGUGUUUCGACACACUAUCAUUAACUGAAUCCAUAGGUUAAUGAGGCGAACCGGGGGAACUGAAACAUCUAAGUACCCCGAGGAAAAGAAAUCAACCGAGAUUCCCCCAGUAGCGGCGAGCGAACGGGGAGCAGCCCAGAGCCUGAAUCAGUAUGUGUGUUAGUGGAAGCGUCUGGAAAGGCGCGCGAUACAGGGUGACAGCCCCGUACACAAAAAUGCACAUGCUGUGAGCUCGAUGAGUAGGGCGGGACACGUGGUAUCCUGUCUGAAUAUGGGGGGACCAUCCUCCAAGGCUAAAUACUCCUGACUGACCGAUAGUGAACCAGUACCGUGAGGGAAAGGCGAAAAGAACCCCGGCGAGGGGAGUGAAAAAGAACCUGAAACCGUGUACGUACAAGCAGUGGGAGCACGCUUAGGCGUGUGACUGCGUACCUUUUGUAUAAUGGGUCAGCGACUUAUAUUCUGUAGCAAGGUUAACCGAAUAGGGGAGCCGAAGGGAAACCGAGUCUUAACUGGGCGUUAAGUUGCAGGGUAUAGACCCGAAACCCGGUGAUCUAGCCAUGGGCAGGUUGAAGGUUGGGUAACACUAACUGGAGGACCGAACCGACUAAUGUUGAAAAAUUAGCGGAUGACUUGUGGCUGGGGGUGAAAGGCCAAUCAAACCGGGAGAUAGCUGGUUCUCCCCGAAAGCUAUUUAGGUAGCGCCUCGUGAAUUCAUCUCCGGGGGUAG